UGUAAUUUAGUGUAUGAUGCACGUUGAUUUUUGAUAUCAGUAGUUUAAGUUUAAUUCUUAAAUUUACAA
rnacentral:tRNA from 1 species